rnacentral:rRNA from 1 species
AUGCAUGAUACUAGCUAUGAUACUAGCAUUACAACCAGCCUGACUUGCGACAUCUCGCCGCACAAAGAACUCCAGUCCGGUCACCAGGCAGAGGCAGCCCACAGAGCGCAGCGCACGCACGCCUUCGGCCCCGUUGACGCUCCUCUCGACGCGGCCUUUCACGACGGACGUACGGUUGAAACUUUCUUCCAAGCGGUGUCCAAUCUCAACCAGCCGGCCUCCCCCAGCAUCUCCCUGGCACCACCAUGCGCCAUCGCAUGCCGCCGCACGCCGUCUGGCGCUCGCUGCUCGCCAGCUCCACAACCCUGUCUUCUCCCAUCCAGUGUGGCUCACGACCUGUUACGGAAACGACGCUUGCCGGCUCCAUGCAGGCCAUGCUCGGGGCAGCCACUAGCACAACACCAGCUCCCCUGUUCUGUUUCCUCUCAUGCGGCUGUAGAUAGACACGCUCGGGUGCAAGUGUAA